rnacentral:misc_RNA from 1 species
GAUGAAGAACGCAGCGAAAUGCGAUACGUAAUGUGAAUUGCAGAAUUCAGUGAAUCAUCGAGUCUUUGAACGCACAUUGCGCCCCUUGGUAUUCCAUGGGGCAUGCCUGUUCGAGCGUCAUUUGUACCUUCAAGCUUUGCUUGGUGUUGGGUGUUUGUCCUGAGGGACUCGCCUUAAAGUAAUUGGCAGCCAGUGUUUGGUUUUGAAGCGCAGCACAAGUCGCGAUUCAAAGCUAUACGCCCGCUUCCACAAGCCUUUUUCACUUUUGACCUCGGAUCAGGUAGGGAUACCCGCUGAACUUAAGCAUAUCAAUAAGCGGAGGA